GUGGGGAAUAUUGGACAAUGGGGGCAACCCUGAUCCAGCAAUGCCGCGUGUGUGAAGAAGGUCUUCGGAUCGUAAAGCACUUUCGACGGGGACGAUGAUGACGGUACCCGUAGAAGAAGCCCCGGCUAACUUCGUGCCAGCAGCCGCGGUAAUACGAAGGGGGCUAGCGUUGCUCGGAAUUACUGGGCGUAAAGGGCGAGUAGGCGGCUCUGUUAGUCAGGCGUGAAAUUCCUGGGCUUAACCUGGGGACUGCGCUUGAUACUGCGGAGCUUGAGGCCGAGAGAGGGUGGUGGAAUUCCCAGUGUAGAGGUGAAAUUCGUAGAUAUUGGGAAGAACACCGGUGGCGAAGGCGACCACCUGGCUCGGUACUGACGCUGAGGCGCGACAGCGUGGGGAGCAAACAGGAUUAGAAACCCCGGUAGUCC
rnacentral:rRNA from 1 species